GGGUUGUGAGGUUAAGCGACUAAGCGUACACGGUGGAUGCCCUGGCAGUCAGAGGCGAUGAAGGACGUGCUAAUCUGCGAAAAGCGUCGGUAAGGUGAUAUGAACCGUUACAGCCGGCGAUGUCCGAAUGGGGAAACCCAGUGCAAUUCGUUGCACUAUCGUUAACUGAAUACAUAGGUUAACGAGGCGAACCGGGGGAACUGAAACAUCUAAGUACCCCGAGGAAAAGAAAUCAACCGAGAUUCCCCCAGUAGCGGCGAGCGAACGGGGAGCAGCCCAGAGUCUGAAUCAGCUUGUGUGUUAGUGGAACGGUCUGGAAAGUCCGACGGUACAGGGUGAUAGUCCCGUACACCAAAAUGCACAGGCUGUGAACUCGAAGAGUAGGGCGGGACACGUGGUAUCCUGUCUGAAUAUGGGGGGACCAUCCUCCAAGGCUAAAUACUCCUGACUGACCGAUAGUGAACCAGUACCGUGAGGGAAAGGCGAAAAGAACCCCGGCGAGGGGAGUGAAAAAGAACCUGAAACCGUGUACGUACAAGCAGUGGGAGCACCUUCGGGUGUGACUGCGUACCUUUUGUAUAAUGGGUCAGCGACUUAUAUUCUGUAGCAAGGUUAACCGUAUAGGGGAGCCGCAGGGAAACCGAGUCUUAACUGGGCGUUAAGUUGCAGGGUAUAGACCCGAAACCCGGUGAUCUAGCCAUGGGCAGGUUGAAGGUUGGGUAACACUAACUGGAGGACCGAACCGACUAAUGUUGAAAAAUUAGCGGAUGACUUGUGGCUGGGGGUGAAAGGCCAAUCAAACCGGGAGAUAGCUGGUUCUCCCCGAAAGCUAUUUAGGUAGCGCCUCGUGAACUCAUCUUCGGGGGUAGAGCACUGUUUCGGCUAGGGGGUCAUCCCGACUUACCAACCCGAUGCAAACUACGAAUACCGAAGAAUGUUAUCACGGGAGACACACGGCGGGUGCUAACGUCCGUCGUGAAGAGGGAAACAACCCAGACCGCCAGCUAAGGUCCCAAAGUCAUGGUUAAGUGGGAAACGAUGUGGGAAGGCACAGACAGCCAGGAUGUUGGCUUAGAAGCAGCCAUCAUUUAAAGAAAGCGUAAUAGCUCACUGGUCGAGUCGGCCUGCGCGGAAGAUGUAACGGGGCUAAACCAUGCACCGAAGCUGCGGCAGCGACACUAUGUGUUGUUGGGUAGGGGAGCGUUCUGUAAGCCUGCGAAGGUGGCCUGUGAGGGUUGCUGGAGGUAUCAGAAGUGCGAAUGCUGACAUAAGUAACGAUAAAGCGGGUGAAAAGCCCGCUCGCCGGAAGACCAAGGGUUCCUGUCCAACGUUAAUCGGGGCAGGGUGAGUCGACCCCUAAGGCGAGGCCGAAAGGCGUAGUCGAUGGGAAACAGGUUAAUAUUCCUGUACUUGGUGUUACUGCGAAGGGGGGACGGAGAAGGCUAUGUUAGCCGGGCGACGGUUGUCCCGGUUUAAGCAUGUAGGCUGGUUGUCCAGGCAAAUCCGGAUAAUCAAGGCUGAGGUGUGAUGACGAGGCACUACGGUGCUGAAGUAACAAAUGCCCUGCUUCCAGGAAAAGCCUCUAAGCAUCAGGUAACAUCAAAUCGUACCCCAAACCGACACAGGUGGUCAGGUAGAGAAUACCAAGGCGCUUGAGAGAACUCGGGUGAAGGAACUAGGCAAAAUGGUGCCGUAACUUCGGGAGAAGGCACGCUGGUGUGUAGGUGAAGUCCCUGCGGAUGGAGCUGAGACCAGUCGAAGAUACCAGCUGGCUGCAACUGUUUAUUAAAAACACAGCACUGUGCAAACACGAAAGUGGACGUAUACGGUGUGACGCCUGCCCGGUGCCGGAAGGUUAAUUGAUGGGGUUAUCCGUAAGGAGAAGCUCUUGAUCGAAGCCCCGGUAAACGGCGGCCGUAACUAUAACGGUCCUAAGGUAGCGAAAUUCCUUGUCGGGUAAGUUCCGACCUGCACGAAUGGCGUAAUGAUGGCCAGGCUGUCUCCACCCGAGACUCAGUGAAAUUGAACUCGCUGUGAAGAUGCAGUGUACCCGCGGCAAGACGGAAAGACCCCGUGAACCUUUACUAUAGCUUGACACUGAACAUUGAGCCUUGAUGUGUAGGAUAGGUGGGAGGCUUUGAAGCGUGGACGCCAGUCUGCGUGGAGCCAACCUUGAAAUACCACCCUUUAAUGUUUGAUGUUCUAACGUUGGCCCCUUACCGGGGUUGCGGACAGUGUCUGGUGGGUAGUUUGACUGGGGCGGUCUCCUCCCAAAGCGUAACGGAGGAGCACGAAGGUUAGCUAAUCCUGGUCGGACAUCAGGAGGUUAGUGCAAUGGCAUAAGCUAGCUUGACUGCGAGCGUGACGGCGCGAGCAGGUGCGAAAGCAGGUCAUAGUGAUCCGGUGGUUCUGAAUGGAAGGGCCAUCGCUCAACGGAUAAAAGGUACUCCGGGGAUAACAGGCUGAUACCGCCCAAGAGUUCAUAUCGACGGCGGUGUUUGGCACCUCGAUGUCGGCUCAUCACAUCCUGGGGCUGAAGUAGGUCCCAAGGGUAUGGCUGUUCGCCAUUUAAAGUGGUACGCGAGCUGGGUUUAGAACGUCGUGAGACAGUUCGGUCCCUAUCUGCCGUGGGCGCUGGAGAAUUGAGGGGGGCUGCUCCUAGUACGAGAGGACCGGAGUGGACGCAUCACUGGUGUUCGGGUUGUCAUGCCAAUGGCACUGCCCGGUAGCUAAAUGCGGAAGAGAUAAGUGCUGAAAGCAUCUAAGCACGAAACUUGCCCCGAGAUGAGUUCUCCCUGAGACUUUAAGUCUCCUGAAGGAACGUUGAAGACGACGACGUUGAUAGGCCGGGUGUGUAAGCGCAGCGAUGCGUUGAGCUAACCGGUACUAAUGAACCGUGAGGCUUAACCUUACAACGCCGAAG
rnacentral:rRNA from 1 species